rnacentral:rRNA from 1 species
AUUGAACGCUGGCGGCAGGCCUAACACAUGCAAGUCGAGCGGAUGAAGGGAGCUUGCUCCUGGAUUCAGCGGCGGACGGGUGAGUGAUGCCUAGGAAUCUGCCUGGUAGUGGGGGAUAACGUCCGGAAACGGGCGCUAAUACCGCAUACGUCCUGAGGGAGAAAGUGGGGGAUCUUCGGACCUCACGCUAUCAGAUGAGCCGAGGUCGGAUUAGCUAGUUGGUGGGGUAAAGGCCUACCAAGGCGACGAUCCGUAACUGGUCUGAGAGGAUGAUCAGUCACACUGGAACUGAGACACGGUCCAGACUCCUACGGGAGGCAGCAGUGGGGAAUAUUGGACAAUGGGCGAAAGCCUGAUCCAGCCAUGCCGCGUGUGUGAAGAAGGUCUUCGGAUUGUAAAGCACUUUAAGUUGGGAGGAAGGGCAGUAAGUUAAUACCUUGCUGUUUUGACGUUACCAACAGAAUAAGCACCGGCUAACUUCGUG